rnacentral:rRNA from 1 species
GCUAACUAGGGGCCAAGGGCCGCGUGAAAACGGAGGGGGCAAGGGGUAUCGGGAAUCACUGGGCGUAAAGCGUGCGUAGGUGGCGCGUUAAGUGAGAGGUUAAAUCGUGUGGCUCAACCAUGUCGAUGCGUCUCAUACUGGCGUGCGAGAGGACAGCAGAGGCAAGUGGAAUUGGUAGUGUAGCAGUGAAAGGCGUAGAUAUUACCAGGAACACCAAUGGCGAAGGCAGCUUGCUGGGCUACUCCUGACACUGAGGUACGAAAGCGUGGGGAGCGAACAGGAUUAGAUACCCUAGUAGUC